rnacentral:lncRNA from 1 species
CAAAGAAAAUCCGAUACACAGCUUCCUCACUCAGCUCACUCGUCGCUUCCAUCCACGAUAGAUCUCAAAUGGCACCUCAUGCAGACCGCCUUGUCAACGUUGGAAGAGAUGGGAUUACAAUAAUAGACAGAAUUUACGGUCCAAGGCCAGUGGCUCAAGGGGCAAGGAAUCGAUACAUCCCACAACAAUCCCACGAGGCUGUUCAAGACACAGCGGCUCCUUAUCAUGGUAAUUUCAUUGAUAGCAUGAUGGCGGCUAGGAAGUACAAGG